UAGAUAGAUGCUUGUAGGUUUAAGCGCUUAGCUGUUAACUAAAAUUUUGUAGGAUCAAAGCCUGCCUGUCUAG
rnacentral:tRNA from 1 species